UUCGGUUUGGCCUCCUCGGCUCGUCACGGUCUCGCGGCGCGGACUGAGCGUGACCGUGCGAGGUGAACCCUAGGCGACCGGUGGCGUCGCGGCGAGGCGGAGGCGAGGGCGCGGUGGCCUACGCUGCCCUGCUGCUGCCUGCGCGGAGCCGGAGCGGGCUGCAGCCUGCGGACUGCGGUCGCGCGUGUGGCGGCGUGGUGUCGCGGUGAGGCGGAGGCGAGGGCGCGGUGGCCUGCUGUCCUGCUGCUCCCUGCGCGGAGCGCCGGAGCCGGAGCGGGCUGCGGCCUGCGGACUGCGGUCGCGCGUGCGGCGGCGUGGCGUCGUGGCGAGGCAGAGGCGAGGGCGCGGUGGCCUGCUGCCCUGCUGCUGCCUGCGCGGAGCCGGAGUGGGCUGUGGCCUGCGGACUGCGGUCGCGCGUGCGGCGGCGCGGUGUCGCGGCGAGGCGGAGGCGAGGGUGCGGUGGCCUGCUGCCCUGCUGCUGCCUGCGCGGAGCGCCGGAGCCGGAGCGGGCUGCGGCCUGCGGACUGCGGACUGCGGUCGCGCGUGCGGCGGCGCGGCGAGGCGGAGGCGAGGGCGCGGUGGCCUGUUGCCCUGCUGCUGCCUGCGUGGAGCCAGUGCCCAGUGCUCGCUGGUUGCUCUGUUCAGUUUAGUAUUGCUUGGUUUACAAAAUGAAGAACAAAUCAAAAUCGGUUGAUUUGAGGACUUUGUGGGAUAUAUAGAGCAGCAAAAACAACGAAGGUGGAGUUAGGAUCUACAUCAGUGCCACGAUACAGGGUCCUUGUCAUUAAUCAUAAUUACUUGGUUUGUAAUCUUGUUUGGACAUUUAUCGUUUUGUGUUUAUUUGGACUAUAAAAUAAUGUGAAGCAUCAUGCUCCUAUUCUUUAUACAUACGUAGUAUAAAUGUUUAGAUCUGAGUUCUAGGUUUA